GAUGAAGAACGUAGCGAAAUGCGAUAAGUAGUGAGAAUUGCAGAAUUCAGUGAAUCAUCGAAUCUUUGAACGCACAUUGCGCCCCUUGGUAUUCCAUGGGGCAUGCCUGUUCGAGCGUCAUUUGUACCUUCAAGCUUUGCUUGGUGUUGGGUGUUUGUCUCGCCUUUGCGUGUAGACUCGCCUUAAAAUAAUUGGCAGCCGGCGUAUUGAUUUCGGAGCGCAGUACAUCUCGCGCUUUGCACUCAUAACGACAGCGUCCAAAAGUACAUUUUACACUCUUGACCUCGGAUCAGGUAGGGAUACCCGCUGAACUUAAGCAUAUCAAUAAGCGGAGGA
rnacentral:misc_RNA from 1 species